CGAAUCAGUCGUUGGGCUGGGAAACCAGUUGAUGAGUAUGUGUUCUGGUUUCUCUUCAGGAAGAGAGAGCUGGCCCAAUCAUGGAUAGAGAACUGGGUCUACACAUUGCAUGGAGUGGACUGUGGCAGACAUGAGGAUGCAACACUUGGAUCUACCUUCAAGGAAAGAAUGAUUUCCAGGAGACAACUGGCAAGUAAAGAGCCUGAGAGAGUCCAGUCCCUCUCCGUCACUACAAUGGACAUAUAUUUGAAGGAAG